UCUCCGUAGGUGAACCUGCGGAGGGAUCAUUACAGAGUUCAUGCCCUACCGGGUAGAUCUCCUACCCUAUGUUAUUAUUACUUUGUUGCUUUGGCGGGCCGUUAGGCUCCGGCCCGACUACCGGCCCCGGCUGGUAAGCGCCCGCCAGAGGACCCAAAACCCUGAAUAUUAGUGUCGUCCGAGUACUAUAUAAUAGUUAAAACUUUCAACAACGGAUCUCUUGGUUCUG
rnacentral:misc_RNA from 1 species